AGACUCCUACGGGAGGCAGCAGUGGGGAAUUUUGGACAAUGGGCGAAACCCUGAUCCAGCCAUGCCGCGUGAGUGAAGAAGGCCUUCGGGUUGUAAAGCUCUUUCAGCCGGAAAGAAAUGGUUGGGAUUAAUACCUGUAACUAAUGACGGUACCAAAAGAAGAAGCACCGGCUAACUACGUGCCAGCAGCCGCGGUAAUACGUAGGGUGCAAGCGUUAAUCGGAAUUACUGGGCGUAAAGGGUGCGCAGGUGGUUUUGUAAGUCAGAUGUGAAAUCCCCGGGCUUAACCUGGGAACUGCGUUUGAAACUACAAGGCUAGA
rnacentral:rRNA from 1 species